rnacentral:rRNA from 1 species
GACGAACGCUGGCGGCGUGCUUAACACAUGCAAGUCGAACGGUGAAGGAAGAGCUUGCUCUUCCGGAUCAGUGGCGAACGGGUGAGUAACACGUGGGCAACCCUGCCCUGACUCUGGGAUAACUCCUCGAAAGAGGUGCUAAUACCGGAUACGACCACUUCGGACAUCCGAUGGUGGUGGAAAAGUUUUUCGGUCAGGGAUGGGCCCGCGGCCUAUCAGCUAGUUGGUGGGGUAAUGGCCUACCAAGGCGACGACGGGUAGCCGGCCUGAGAGGGCGACCGGCCACACUGGGACUGAGACACGGCCCAGACUCCUACGGGAGGCAGCAGUGGGGAAUAUUGCGCAAUGGGCGAAAGCCUGACGCAGCGACGCCGCGUGAGGGA